AGUGAACGCUGGCGGUAGGCCUAACACAUGCAAGUCGAACGGCAGCACAGUAAGAGCUUGCUCUUACGGGUGGCGAGUGGCGGACGGGUGAGGAAUACAUCGGAAUCUACUUUUUCGUGGGGGAUAACGUAGGGAAACUUACGCUAAUACCGCAUACGACCUACGGGUGAAAGCAGGGGAUCUUCGGACCUUGUGCGAUUGAAUGAGCCGAUGUCGGAUUAGCUAGUUGGCGGGGUAAAGGCCCACCAAGGCGACGAUCCGUAGCUGGUCUGAGAGGAUGAUAGGCCACACUGGAACUGAGACACGGUCCAGAGUCCUACGGGAGGCAGCAGUGGGGAAUAUGAGACAAUGGGCGCAAGCCUGAUCCAGCCAGACCGCGUGGGUGAAGAAGGCCUUCGGGUUGUAAAGCCCUUUUGUUGGGAAAGAAAAGCAGCAGGUUAAUACCCCGCUGUUCUGACGGUACCCAAAGAAUAAGCACCGGCUAACUUCGUG
rnacentral:rRNA from 1 species